AACAUGUCUAAUCAAAGAAAGGUUGCAGGUGCACUUUGUCUUUUGGUGAAAUAAUGUAAUAAGUUUAUUCUUGGACUCAACAGUAAAAACAGACCAACAAGUGUCAUCAAGAUCUAAGACUUAGUAGACCUAGUAUCGACUCGCACUAAUCCGUUUUUUAAUCCCAGAAUAAACUUGUGAUCAUUUAAGCAAUAGCAAUUUCCUCAAAUUCUUUGCCAUCAAAAUGCUUCCAGUCCUGAUGUCGGGGACUCUUUUUCACCACUGUGUUGGUGUCGUUUAUAGAUUGUAAGACCAGGACUGCUAAAAGAAAGGCCAGUCCUGAAAAGAAGACCCCAAUAAAAAGGAGGAGGGUCGCUGAGCAGGCUGGUCCUUCCAGCAGCUCAGAUGUGGUCAAAGGAGUAAAGCGCAAGGUUGAGCAAGAUGGAGAGGGCACAACGAACCAAGCAAAGAAGGCUAAACUGCUUGACCAUAUGAGCGGUGACAAGGAGCAAGCAUCUUCCUCGCUGGACACUGGUAAAGACUGUAGUUUGAACAACAAACAGGUGUAUCCGAGAAAUGGUAAAAGAAAGGCCGCGGGAGACAACAGAGAGUCACCCAAGAAAAAAAAAAAGGAAUGUGGACCAGGACAAAAAAUCAGUGGCUGACCAAAAAUGUGAAUUCGAAGCCAAAUAUGUGGAGGAGCACCAGCUCGGAGAAGGAGGCUGCGGAGCAGUGUUUGUUGGCUACCGGACAGAAGAUAAUUUUCCAAUACUGUUGUUCACACCCCUCCCGAGUGGUACAGGAGGAGCUGCUACAGGUGUGGACCCACCACGGUGUGGCAAAUGGGAGUGGUGCUGUAUGAAGCGGUUCAUGCACGGGACUUCAAUACCGAGAGGUUCCUCAGAAAGAAACUGAGCAUCAAAGAGCGUCUGUCCACAACACCCAACCCUGGAGGAGCUCCAGCUUCACCCCUGGCUGAGAUAAGCCUGUAUCAUACAAACACACAAUUCACACCUUAUCAUGCAACUGUGAUGUAUCACAUUUCUUUUUUCUGUUUGACAGGAAUAGAUAGAAUGGGUCCAUUUUUUAAAAAUCUAAAUUUUGCUUUCUUGGAGUUCCUGUAACACCCCCCCCCAGCCAUCCCAGGAGAGGGGAUCUCUCUUUGAAUGGGCUUUCCCAAGGUUUAUUCCCAUCGAUCUGGCCCCCUCGUCUUCCUCGUCUUCAUAGAGAGCUUGGGCUGGGUCAGGAGCUCCAUCAAAACAUCAAAAGGUCCUGUGGAUAAUUACUCCUAUUUGUAACUUUACACAACAGAAAGUUUGCUGUCACACUGUUUAUAACAGGUUGGGUUUUGUCCUCUGAGUUGAACCUUUGGUUGCAGUUUAUUGAAGAAUUUCCUCUGAAGUAGCUGUUGAUGAAGAUUUAAAGUCCUGCUUAGUCACAAAAAUGGGCUUUAGUUAAUGUUUCUGACAUGUCUGCCUCAGUGCAGCAGUAGAAGAUCUGGCACAGGAAACCAGAUGAUGAAAGAAGGGUAGGAGUGUAUAUACACUACAAGUAAAUA